GAUGAACGCUGGCGGCGUGCCUAAUACAUGCAAGUCGAGCGAACAGACGAGGAGCUUGCUCCUCUGACGUUAGCGGCGGACGGGUGAGUAACACGUGGAUAACCUACCUAUAAGACUGGGAUAACCUCGGGAAACCGGAGCUAAUACCGGAUAAUAUAUUGAACCGCAUGGUUCAAUAGUGAAAGACGGUUUUGCUGUCACUUAUAGAUGGAUCCGCGCCGCAUUAGCUAGUUGGUAAGGUAACGGCUUACCAAGGCAACGAUGCGUAGCCGACCUGAGAGGGGGAUCGGCCACACUGGAACUGGGACACGGUCCAGACUCCUACGGGAGGCAGCAGUAGGGUAUCUUCCGCAAUGGGCGAAAGCUUGACGGAGCAACGCCGCGUGAGUGAUGAAGGUCUUCGGAUCGUAAAACUCUGUUAUUAGGGAAGAACAAAUGUGUAAGUAACUAUGCACGUCUUGACGGUACCUAAUCAGAAAGCCACGGCUAACUACGUG
rnacentral:rRNA from 1 species